rnacentral:rRNA from 1 species
UACGAAGGGGGCGAGCGUUGUUCGGAUUUACUGGGCGUAAAGGGCGCGCAGGCGGCUAUCCAAGUCAGGCGUGAAAGCCCCGGGCUUAACCUGGGAACUGCGUCUGGGACUGGGUGGCUAGAGUUCGGGAGAGGAGAGUGGAAUUCCCAGUGUAGAGGUGAAAUUCGUAGAUAUUGGGAAGAACACCGGUGGCGAAGGCGGAUCUCUGGGCCUGUCCGUGACGCUGAGGCGCGAAAGCUAGGGGAGCGAACAGG